rnacentral:tRNA from 1 species
GGGCCGUUAGCUCAGUUGGUAGAGCACCUGCUUUGCAAGCAGGGGGUCGUCGGUUCGAGUCCGACACGGUCCA